rnacentral:rRNA from 1 species
UUCACUUGAGUGUAGUCGGGGACGGCGGAAUGAGUUGUGUAGCGGUGAAAUGCAUAGAUAUAACUCAGAACACCGAUUGCGAAGGCAGCUGUUUAGGCUACAACUGACACUGAGGCACGAAAGCGUGGGGAGCGAACAGGAUUAGAUACCCUGGUAGUCCACGCAGUAAACGAUGAUCACUCGUUGCUGGCUACGAAGUAGUCAGUGACAAAGGGAAACCAUUAAGUGAUCCACCUGGGGAGUACGUCGGCAACGAUGAAACUCAAAGGAAUUGACGGGGGCCCGCACAAGCGGAGGAACAUGUGGUUUAAUUCGAUGAUACGCGAGGAACCUUACCUGGGCUUAAAUGCAGAUUGUAUUUCCGUGAAAACGGAAUUUCCUACGGGACUGAUUGCAGGUGCUGCAUGGUUGUCGUCAGCUCGUGCCGUGAGGUGUCGGGUUAAGUCCCAUAACGAGCGCAACCCCUAUCGUUAGUUGCCAGCAUGUAAAGGUGGGGACUCUAACGAGACUGCCGGUGUAAACCGGAGGAAGGUGGGGAUGACGUCAAAUCAGCACGGCCCUUACGUCCAGGGCUACACACGUGUUACAAUGGCCGGUACAAAGAGCAGCCACCUGGCGACAGGGUGCUAAUCUUGAAAGCCGGUCUUAGUUCGGAUCGAAGUCUGCAAUUCGACUUCGUGAAGGUGGAUUCGCUAGUA